UUGCCAUGCUUGAGCAAACAUUGAUACAAGCAAAGCAAGCAAGCCAAACAAAGAUUUGUCUUGCUAGCAUUAAUGUAAAAGCUGUAAAGAAAACUAUUUGUUGUUCCUUUUUAGCUCACGUAAAACCCUUUAUUCAUAUAAGUAUUCAGGCUAUGGUCAACCUGAUUGAAAAUAUCAUGUGAGGAAUAACAAACGAAAACUAUGAAAAAAUUAAAAAAAAAAAA
rnacentral:lncRNA from 1 species